GGCAACUUGGCCGAGCUGGUUAAGGCGUUAGACUCGGGGAAAUCUCCUUGCCUCUCAAAAGAGGAUUUAUUCUAAUCACGAAAGUGGCGUGAGUUCGGGUCUCACAGUUGUUA